GUCUCUUCGGAGACAUCUGAUAAAAUUGGAACGAUAUAGAGGAGAUUAGCAUGGCCACUGAGCAAGGAUGACACAUUGACACGCACAAAUUGAAAUGUAGUCCAAUUUUUU
rnacentral:snRNA from 1 species